UACCUUGCAGUCGGCGGCAGCACAGAAGAGCUUGCUCUUUGGGUGGCGAGUGGCGGACGGGUGAGUAAUGUCUGGGAAACUGCCCGAUGGAGGGGGAUAACUACUGGAAACGGUAGCUAAUACCGCAUAACGUCGCAAGACCAAAGUGGGGGACCUUCGGGCCUCACACCAUCGGAUGUGCCCAGAUGGGAUUAGCUAGUAGGUGGGGUAAUGGCUCACCUAGGCGACGAUCCCUAGCUGGUCUGAGAGGAUGACCAGCCACACUGGAACUGAGACACGGUCCAGACUCCUACGGGAGGCAGCAGUGGGGAAUAUUGCACAAUGGGCGCAAGCCUGAUGCAGCCAUGCCGCGUGUAUGAAGAAGGCCUUCGGGUUGUAAAGUACUUUCAGCGGGGAGGAAGGCGGUGAGGUUAAUAACCUUGCCGAUUGACGUUACCCGCAGAAGAAGCACCGGCUAACUCCGUGCCAGCAGCCGCGGUAAUACGGAGGGUGCAAGCGUUAAUCGGAAUUACUGGGCGUAAAGCGCACGCAGGCGGUCUGUUAAGUCAGAUGUGAAAUCCCCGGGCUUAACCUGGGAACUGCAUUUGAAACUGGCAGGCUUGAGUCUCGUAGAGGGGGGUAGAAUUCCAGGUGUAGCGGUGAAAUGCGUAGAGAUCUGGAGGAAUACCGGUGGCGAAGGCGGCCCCCUGGACGAAGACUGACGCUCAGGUGCGAAAGCGUGGGGAGCAAACAGGAUUAG
rnacentral:rRNA from 1 species